rnacentral:rRNA from 1 species
GGCGAACGGGUGAGUAAUAUAUCGGAACGUGCCCAGUCGUGGGGGAUAACGUAGCGAAAGUUACGCUAAUACCGCAUACGAUCUAUGGAUGAAAGCGGGGGAUCGCAAGACCUCGCGCGAUUGGAGAGGCCGAUAUCAGAUUAGGUAGUUGGUGGGGUAAAGGCUCACCAAGCCAACGAUCUGUAGCUGGUCUGAGAGGACGACCAGCCACACUGGGACUGAGACACGGCCCAGACUCCUACGGGAGGCAGCAGUGGGGAAUUUUGGACAAUGGGCGCAAGCCUGAUCCAGCCAUUCCGCGUGCAGGACGAAGGCCUUCGGGUUGUAAACUGCUUUUAUACGGAACGAAAAAGCUUCGGUUAAUACCCGGAGUCCAUGACGGUACCGUAAGAAUAAGCACCGGCUAACUACGUGCCAGCAGCCGCGGUAAUACGUAGGGUGCAAGCGUUAAUCGGAAUUACUGGGCGUAAAGCGUGCGCAGGCGGUUAUAUAAGACAGAUGUGAAAUCCCCGGGCUCAACCUGGGAACUGCAUUUGUGACUGUAUAGCUAGAGUACGGCAGAGGGGGAUGGAAUUCCGCGUGUAGCAGUGAAAUGCGUAGAUAUGCGGAGGAACACCGAUGGCGAAGGCAAUCCCCUGGGCCUGUACUGACGCUCAUGCACGAAAGCGUGGGGAGCAAACAGGAUU